CCUACGGGUGGCAGCAGUGAGGAAUAUUGGUCAAUGGGCGCGAGCCUGAACCAGCCAAGUAGCGUGAAGGAUGACUGCCCUACGGGUUGUAAACUUCUUUUAUAAAGGAAUAAAGUGAGGCACGUGUGCCUUUUGGUAUGUACUUUAUAAAUAAGGUUCGGGUAACUCCGUGCCAGCAGCCGCGGUAAUACGGAGGAUCCGAGCGUUAACCGGUUUUAUUGGGUUUAAAGGGGGCGUAGCUGGGUUGUUAAGUCGGUUGUGAAAGUUUGCGGCUCAACCGUAAAAUUGCAAUUGAUACUGGCAGUCUUGAGUGCAGGUGAGGUAGGCGGAAUGCGUGGUGUAGCGGUGAAAUGCUUAGAUAUCACGAAGAACUCCGAUUGCGAAGGCAGCUUACUAAACUGCCACUGACAUUGAUGCUCGAAAGUGUGGGUAUCAAACAGGAUUAGAUACCCUGGUAGUC
rnacentral:rRNA from 1 species